AUGCAGGUUAUAGUUACAAUGUAGCUGUGAAGUGCUGUGUUGUCGUUCCCCCUGCAUAAAACAAAAUUGUAUCCUCUAUCUUUGUCUGUUUUGAUCCUGUAGCAGACAAAGACGCUGGGUUUCAUACAU